GGACUCUGUGGGAAAGCAACCAGAUGCAACGUGUGUGACAUCGUCUUAAAAUCAUUAGAGCGCUUUUCAUGAAGCCAGAGAGCGGAAGGAGGAAAUAGUCCAUUAGAAUUACAAAAUGAAGGAAUUGGAUCAAAAAACUGGUUCGGCAACCCAGGGAAUUCAAAAAGAAAGAGGACAGAAGUAUUAUAUUUAAAAGAGAAAGGAAAAUUCUCGCUAGAAACAAUUGCAGAUUCAGAGGUGCACAAUAGAGACCCUAAGUAUUUGGAAUUCCUUGGAAUAGAGCAUAUACAGAUAGAUAGGAGAAGAGGUGACAGAGAAAGAAGACUAAACCAGAAAGAAACAUUAUGGAUCUUGUACUUGGAUACCCUUCAAUCGAAGGGACUAAAUGAGAACUUUGAAUUGGUGUCUUUCUUAUAAAUAAUAUAUGUCUGAAAAUAGUUUAAAUGGCUGUUAGGUUCAAUUUGUAAAAAUGGAAAUAUGUUAUACAUUGAUUAGUAGUAGAUAAAACAAUGAGACCACACAAAAAAACAGAAAAGAACUUAAUUGUAUAUAUGAACGUGAGAAAUAUGUAAAAUUUUCAU